rnacentral:rRNA from 1 species
UACGUAGGUGGCAAGCGUUGUCCGGAUUUACUGGGCGUAAAGAGCGCGCAGGCGGUCGUGCAAGUCGCGUGUGAAAGCCCCCGGCUCAACUGGGGAGGGUCACGCGAUACUGCUCGACUCGAAGGCAGGAGAGGGAAGUGGAAUUCCCGGUGUAGUGGUGAAAUGCGUAGAGAUCGGGAGGAACACCUGUGGCGAAGGCGGCCGACUGGGCCGACCCUGACGCUGAGGCGCGAAGGCGUGGGGAGCGAACGGG